GAUGAACGCUGGCGGCGUGCCUAAUACAUGCAAGUCGAGCGAACAGACGAGGAGCUUGCUCCUCUGACGUUAGCGGCGGACGGGUGAGUAACACGUGGAUAACCUACCUAUAAGACUGGGAUAACUUCGGGAAACCGGAGCUAAUACCGGAUAAUAUAUUGAACCGCAUGGUUCAAUAGUGAAAGACGGUUUUGCUGUCACUUAUAGAUGGAUCCGCGCCGCAUUAGCUAGUUGGUAAGGUAACGGCUUACCAAGGCAACGAUGCGUAGCCGACCUGAGAGGGUGAUCGGCCACACUGGAACUGAGACACGGUCCAGACUCCUACGGGAGGCAGCAGUAGGGAAUCUUCCGCAAUGGGCGAAAGCCUGACGGAGCAACGCCGCGUGAGUGAUGAAGGUCUUCGGAUCGUAAAACUCUGUUAUUAGGGAGAACAAAUGUGUAAGUAACUAUGCACGUCUUGACGGUACCUAAUCAGAAAGCCACGGCUAACUACGU
rnacentral:rRNA from 1 species